rnacentral:rRNA from 1 species
CUCGCCUGCAUGAAGUCGGAAUUGCUAGUAAUCGCAGAUCAGCAUGCUGCGGUGAAUACGUUCCCGGGCCUUGUACACACCGCCCGUCACACCAUGGGAGCCGGGGGUGCUUGAAGUGCGUCGCCGCAAGGCGCGCCCUAGAGCAAAACCGGUGACUGGGGCUAAGUCGUAACAAGGUACC